UUCGAAGGAUUCGUAAAAGUACGCCCGUGGAGAUGCAGUAUGUAAAGUUUAGAACGGCAUUGAAAUUUGGUUCUCCAUCCCUUCAGCCGACCAUAAUUAAAAUUUAUUCACAAUAAACUGCCGACAGCCAACAAGACAGAAUUUGCGCUGACUAUGGUAACGGCGGCGCACAGCCAAUCUUUCCGACGCAUGUGAAAUUACACAAGCAAAGAUUAUAGUGAAUCGAGCUAACUGAAAUACCUAACUGAAAGUUGGAACUAUAACCAUUGGAACUGCAAGCUGGAAUACGUAUUGCCUUAUCUUACACGACUUUUCAUUGCACUGCAUUCGUUACAAGGAGCGUCGGUGAACGCAAACAUUUGGUAUCUAAUCGUUUCACGGUUUCACCCACCGAUUAUGAAAACGAUUCAGCCGAGCUCGACGCUUUUACUGACCAACCUCUUGCCAUUUGCCGGAACGGUUACUGUGUUUCAGUGCUUAUUGCUUACUCUGCCACACACGGAAACUGCUCUGAAUUUCUGUUUUUCCGUACAUUCGCGGCGAUGCGCACACUCUGUGCUGUAACUUGUGAGCAUCGUUGUAGACCUGACGCCGAAGAGGGCAAUACCCCGUGAAUCCCGACAGAAGAGUUUACGCCUCAUUCAACUUUCUACAAGCGACAGAAAGGUGAAUGCUUUUUCAUUGAACAACAACGCUCAAUCCAUCCACUUUCCUGUCUGCUACCUACCGUACAUGGACGGAAGCGAAGAUUUAAGAUGCAGAACAAAUCGGUACCUGCAGUGCAUGCACCAAGCCAUUCUCCCGAAAUAAGGAUUGCAAACGGGCGGAUAUUAGUUUAAGCCGGUCAUGGCAUGCAGCCAUGCACCACUCCUAAAAUUCAGUUCAACUGCACACGUAUUAGCAACUAACAAGUAUCUGUAAUCAAAAUCGAUGAAGCAUAGAUCGAUCAUAUCACGCAACAUGUUAUUCAGUUCAUGUGUGAUCGUGGCAAUUGGUACAAAACCCAGUAAACCUGGUGCAGUUGGCAAAUUGUUGCAGUUUUCAUUGCCGUCUGCUUCCUUCGGAUAACGUAUCACACUUCCAAGUGGUGCCUUGUUAAGUUAAUUAAGCAAACUGUAACAAAAUGUCUCGUGUUGUUUCAUACCUGUUUUCGGCUCUGCUGAUAGCGGGAUUUGCUGCUGCAACCUCCGAACCCCGGAUUCCGGCAGAACCAAGCAAAUCGAUCAGGAAGCGACCAAGGCUGUCAAUGCGGUUUCCGAAGAAUUAAGAAGCAAAGUUAAGAUCAGCAGCGGUACCAUUCUCGUUCCAGUGUCAUACACGGUACAAAUCGGCGUGGAAAACAGAUAUUUUGUUAAGAUCCGACUUGGAGCUGGUGAAAGCGCAAAGUACAUCCACGCGAAGAUCUACAAAUUUCUAAUGCAAAAGGACAAAUACUCCUUGGAGAAUACCAAGGAAGCUAGCGUAGCGGAUCCCAUUGUCUACUUUGAAUAAACAACGGUCUGACGAUUACCAUGAUUCUAAUAAGUAAUACAGCCGAAUUUCUCUGAUACUACCGUAUAUUUCCGAGAUACUGUACCAGUAUGCAACCAAAGGAACUGAGGUUAUAAAGACGGGUUAAGCGACUCUUCGACGGUUUUUUAUCUGUACUAACUACUCAGGUUCGAAGAAAUAUUUA